UGAUGACGAGACGCUAAGGCGUUGAAGCAGUGUAUGUCAGACUUCCAAGAAAAGCUCGCAAUGUCACAAAUGAAAAAUGCCUGUACCAUAACCGACACAGGUGGGUAGGUAGAGUAUACUAAGGGGCGCGAGAUAACUCUCUCUAAGGAACUCGGCAAAAUGACUCCGUAACUUCGGGAGAAGGAGUGCCUUAUUUAUAAGGUUGCAAUAACAAGAUCCAAGCAACUGUUUAUCAAAAACACAGGUCUCCGCUAAGUCGUAAGACGAUGUAUGGGGGCUGACGCCUGCCCAGUGCCAGAAGGUUAAAGAAGUUGGUUAGUGUAUGCGAAGCUGAUGACUGAAGCCCUGGUGAACGGCGGCCGUAACGAUAACGGUCCUAAGGUAGCGAAAUUCCUUGUCGGGUAAGUUCCGACCCGCACGAAAGGCGUAAUGAUUUGGAUACUGUCUCGGAGAGAGGCUCGGUGAAAUAGACUUGUCUGUGAAGAUGCGGACUACCUGCACCAGGACAGAAAGACCCUAUGAAGCUUUACUGUAACUUGAAAUUGGAAUUGGACUUUGCUUGCGCAGUAUAGGUGGGAAGCGUUGAAAAUAUUCUUGCGGGAGUAUUGGAGCUAUCAGUGAGAUACCACUCUUGUAAUGUUAGAUUUCUAACUUUGAACCAUAAUCUGGUCAAAGAACAGUUUCAGGUGGGCAGUUUGACUGGGGCGGUCGCCUCCCAAAUGGUAACGGAGGCGUACAAAGGUUUCCUCUGAACGGAUAGAAAUCGUAUCUAGAGUGUAAAGGCAUAAGGAAGCUUGACUGUGAGACCUACAAGUCGAGCAGGGACGAAAGUCGGUCUUAGUGAUCUGACGGUACUGAGUGGUAAGGCCGUCACUCAACGGAUAAAAGUUACUCUAGGAUAACAGGCUGAUCUCCCCCAAGAGUUCACAUCGACGGGGAGGUUUGGCACCUCGAUGUCGGCUCAUCGCAUCCUGGGGCGGUAGUACGUCCCAAGGGUUGGGCUGUUCGCCCAUGAAAGCGGUACGCGAGCUGGGUUCAGAACGUCGUGAGACAGUUCGGUCCAUAUCCGGUGUAGGCGCUAGAAUAUUGAGAGGAGCCUUCUUUAGUACGAGAGGACCGAGAAGGACACACCGCUGGUGUACCAGUUAUCGUGCCAACGGUAAACGCUGGGUAGCUAUGUGUGGAGUGGAUAACCGCUGAAAGCAUCUAAGUGGGAAGCCCACCUCGAGAUGAG
rnacentral:rRNA from 1 species